rnacentral:rRNA from 1 species
GUUAGUGGCGAAGGGGUGAGGAAUAGAUAGGAACGUACCCUGUGCUCUGGGAUAGCGUCUGAAGCUUCGGCUUCUUCCGAAAGGGGCGGUAAUACCAGAUAAUGUCCUUCGGGACCAAAGAUUUAUCGGCAUUGGAGCGGCCUAUCUCCUAUCAGCUUGUUGGUGAGGUAACGGCUCACCAAGGCAACGACGGGUAGCGGGACUGAGAGGUUGGCCCGCCACAUCGGGACUGAGACACUGCCCGGACCUCCACGGAGGGCUGCAGUAACGGAUAUUGGGCAAUGGGCGAAAGCCUGACCCAGCAAUGCCGCGUGCAGGAUGAAGCCCCUAGGGGUGUAAACUGCUGUCAGGGGUCAGAAAGCUGGUUUCGGCCAGUUGAUCAACCCCAGAGGAAGUCACGGCUAACUUCGUGCCAGCAGCCGCGGUAAUACGAAGGUGGCAAGCGUUAUUCGGAAUCAUUGGGCUUAAAGGGCACGCAGGCGGAACAGUGUGUGUUGUGUGAAAUCCCCCGGCUUAACCGGGGAAUUGCACAGCAAACUGCUGUUCUUGAGGCAGGUAGGGGUGCAUGGAACUCUUGGUGGAGCGGUGGAAUGCGUAGAUAUCAAGAGGAACGCCAGAGGUGAAGACGGUGCACUGGGCCUGUCCUGACGCUGAGGUGCGAAAAGCGUGGGGGAGCGAACGGGAUUAGAUACCCCGGUAGUCCACGCCGUAAACGAUGUCUAACUAGGUCGUGGGUGUUCUGACACAUUCACGGCCGGAGCAAAAGUGUUUAGUAGACCGCUUGGGGAGUACGGCCGCAAGGUUAAAACUCAAAUGAAUUGACGGGAGCUCACACAAGCGGUGGAGCAUGUGGAUUAAUUCGAAGCAACGCGCAGAACCUUACCUGGGUUUGACAUGCUGGGAUGCCUUCUCUGAAAGGAGUUAGGCUGCCUUCGGGUGAAACUUGCACAGGUGCUGCAUGGCUGUCGUCAGCUCGUGUCGUGAGAUGUCGGGUUAAGUCCUUUAACGAGCGAAACCCUUGCCGUUAGUUGCCAGCGAGUAAUGUCGGGGACUCUAACGGGACUGCCGGUGUUAAACCGGAGGAAGGUGGGGAUGACGUCAAGUCCUCAUGGCCUUUAUGCCCAGGGCUUCACACGUGGUACAAUGGCAAUUACAGAGCGACGCGAUACCGCGAGGUGGAGCAAAUCGCAAAAAAAUUACCUCAGUUCGGAUUGCAGGCUGGCAAUUCGCCUGCAUGAAGUCGGAAUCGCUAGUAAUCGCGUAUCAGCAAUGACGCGGUGAAUGUGUUCCUGAGCCUUGUACACACCGCCCGUCAAGUGAUGGAAGCCGGGAGUACCCGAAGUCGGGUUGCUAACC